UUUGAUCUGUUUUUUGAUCCAUUUGGUCUGGCAUUGAAUCACGUUCCAUCAUCAGGCUCGGCGGAUAGUUGCCGGGUUUAUCCGUAUCAAGACACCCGGUCAAGACAGUUGAAGCUACUAACAGGGUGGCGACAGUAAGUAUGAGUUUCAUUUUUUAGUCUCCUAUAAGAAAAAUAUAUUGACAAUAUAACUCUUCUAGCUGGUUUGACUUAUUGCCUCCCUUCUCAGGAGACAGUUAUUUAAUAACAAAUAUUUUAUUUAUUGUCAAUAUUUUUUAAUUGUCUCACUUAAUAAAAUUAUAAAAUAAUCUUUAUGUUAUAAA
rnacentral:sRNA from 17 species